CUUCAUCCUCCCGCGUCCUCCCGGGCUCGCGCCGCUGUCACUGGAGCCCGCAUCCUCCGCCUCCCGCCGCCGCCGCGACCCCGCACCGGGAAUCAAGCCGGCGCGGAAAACCGCAAGCUUGACUCCACGCCCACCUGACUGGACUGAGAAAACCGAAGAAGUUGGUGAGGGUACAGCAAUAAAUAGCAGGAGGAGCAGAAUUUGAAACAGCAGCAUGCCGGUCCUGCGCCUGGUGAAGGAUGACUCGCCAGAAAGCAAAGGCGCAGACCUACCUCCGCGAGCUUGGCGCGUGGCCCAGGAGGCUCCGCGAGCCCUUGUACGUAAGGAUCGUGGCGCCCACGCUUGAGAGCAGAGCUCAGUGCAAACUUCCAACAGUUCUUCCAGUUUCCAGGGAAACGAGAUUUGGAGCUGCUGCGCGUUGCAGAGCUGCCUCUCUGCUCCCCACAUGGGACCCCUGUGGCUGGCUGGUCUUGGGGAGGAAGGAAUUGAAGCCACCUCAUCCUUGAAGGGAUUCUUUCACCAAGGAAGAGCUCACCAUGCUCUGUUGUGAGCCCCCCUCGACUUCCACUUGCAGAGCCAAGGAGGGGACCAAGGGUAGCUGCAGUCUAUCUAUCUGCAGUCCAGUGACCUGGAGGGUCAGAGGCAGGAAGGAGAGAGAGCAACUCCAGAAAGAACCACACCAGCAAGGAAUAGCUCUGCUACUUUUCCAGAAAAUCACAUCAUCAGCAACUGACCAAGUUCCUACAGAGCCGGGGCAGGUCUGGCAGCCGUCUGGGGGCAGAUCUCACUCUCCCACACUAAAAACAAGGAAGAGGCUCUACACCCAGAAAAGACAUGGCAGAAAUGCAACAGCAUAAUCCCAGCACUUGGGAGGCAGAGGCAGGGGAAUUUCUGAGUUCGAGGCCAGCCUGGUCUACAGAGUGAGUUCCAGGACAGCCAGGGCGACACAGAGAAACCCUGACUCGACCCACCCACCCCCCACCCCCAAAAAAAAGAAGGAAAAAGAAAGGAAGGAAGAAGUGCAGCAGCAAUUACCGAUUAGGGAAUAGUUUCACUUUCAAGUCUUACUUUUUAAUAUUUAUGUGUUUACUAACAUUCAAAACUUCAUCUCCUAGAAUAUUGAUUCAAUUAGCCGAGCUUUUAAUUUUUUCUACUCCAUCACUUUUUAAAGUAUUUUUUUUUAUUUUAUAACAUAUGUCUUAGUCUACCUUCUUUUACUAUAACUGAAUGCCAUGACAUUUAUGAAGAACAACGGUUUAUUUAGCUCACACUUCAGAAGUGCUUGCUACUGUGAAGUCUUUGUGCUGCAGAAUGGUAUAGGGUAUCACAUGGCAAGACAGAGCAACCAGAGAGUUCCUUCCAUGACAAAACCACUCAACUAAUUAUAUCCCAGAGAACCCACCAAACACCGUGAGCAUAUGACUUUGGGGGUCACAUUUCUAGCCCAUGAAUUCUGGGGACAAGCAUUCACACAUCGUAACUGGCCAAAUAGUUGAAAUUUUCACUGUUAAUCCUCACCCCCGUUUUUCCAGGAAUAGCCAUGUUAAUCUGUCACUUCACACAGGCAGUGCAGGCAUCUCUGUGCAAAACACCCAGCUGUGAGUCUUCCAAAGAACCCAUAAAACCAUGGCUAUGAGUUCUCAGAGACACAACUGUGUUUCUUAUUACGUUAAAAGCUUUCGUCUUAUAGAAUGUAAUCACAGAAAAUAUUAAAUAUACAUGUGAUGUCUUCAUGACAUAGAAAUAAGCAUUUAUCUGGCUUCUUGAAGAUGGAAGUGCCCGAGGAGGAUGCAGCCCAGAAGCUGCCAGCUCACCAGAGCUGUCUUCCUGAACUUGCUUAGAUAUUUAUAAGAAGGAAUCCAUUGCUAGCCAUUUUAGUUGGCUUGGUUUGUCUUGUUUUGUUUGUUUGUUUAUUUGUUGUUGUUUUUUAAUUUUGCAGAGAAUCAGAGAGAUGAUUGAUUCUCCAUGCCUGGCCUCUUUUGUUCCACGUAUGUUUGUGAAGUGUGUCCAUGACGCUGUACACAGCGAUAGCUCACUCAUUGCUGAUAAUGAAGCCCAGCAGCUUACCCAUUUCACUGCAGUAAACAACAUAUUGCUUCUUGUUUGUGUGUCCUGAAUCACGGAGACAUGCAGUUGAGUAACCUGGGGGUGAAAUCGCCCUGUCUGAUUAAUACCAUCUUUGUUUUUAUUUGCCUGUUUCCCGUUGAGGUGAAAUUUAUGUACAAUAAGAACCAUUGAUUUUUUAGCUGUACACUUCCAUGAGUUUGGACAGUUGUCUACAUUUAUACAAACGACCACCUCUGGACUCACUGCUGUUCCAGCUUCUGCAAAUGCUAAGCUCAGCGUUUCCCCACACCAGGUCCGUGUGCUAAAGGUUUUAUUACAGUAUUUCCUAUGCAUGGUUGCAUGCAGUGGACAAUCUUGUCUGCCUGGUUUCAGUGCCUUUCAGACUUGUCCAAACUCUUGCAAGAAUCGAUUGAAUGUACUUAUUGCUGAAUAGAAUUCUAGUAAAAAGUGUUUCUCCAUUCACG
ensembl:lincRNA Gm10419 predicted gene 10419